GUUGGUGGGCCGAAAAGUUCGUUCAGGUUUUCCAAGUUACAGAAUAACCCAGACAAACUGUUUGGCCAGCCCAAU
ensembl:miRNA